GACGAACGCUGGCGGCGUGCCUAAUACAUGCAAGUAGAACGCUGAAGAGAGGAGCUUGCUCUUCUUGGAUGAGUUGCGAACGGGUGAGUAACGCGUAGGUAACCUGCCUUGUAGCGGGGGAUAACUAUUGGAAACGAUAGCUAAUACCGCAUAACAAUAGGUGACACAUGUCAUUUAUUUGAAAGGGGCAAUUGCUCCACUACAAGAUGGACCUGCGUUGUAUUAGCUAGUAGGUGAGGUAACGGCUCACCUAGGCGACGAUACAUAGCCGACCUGAGAGGGUGAUCGGCCACACUGGGACUGAGACACGGCCCAGACUCCUACGGGAGGCAGCAGUAGGGAAUCUUCGGCAAUGGGGGCAACCCUGACCGAGCAACGCCGCGUGAGUGAAGAAGGUUGUCGGAUCGUAAAGCUCUGUUGUAAGUCAAGAACGAGUGUGAGAGUGGAAAGUUCACAAUGUGACGGUAGCUUACCAGAAAGGGACGGCUAACUACGUG
rnacentral:rRNA from 1 species